rnacentral:lncRNA from 1 species
GCCAAGAUUAAGUGACCUGUGCAGCAAGAAGGAGGAGCUGUUGAAACAACUGGGUGAUCUGAAGGUGGAAUUGUCCCAGCUUCAUGUUGCCAAAGUGACAGGCGCCGCGUCCAAGCUCUCCAAGACACGAGUUGUUUGCAAAUCCAUUGCCCGAGUCCUCACGGUAGUUAACCAGACUCAAAAAGAAAACCUCAGGAAAUCCUACAAGGGCAAGAAAUACAAGCCCCUGAACCUGUGACCCAAGAAGACCAGAGCCACAUGCCGCCGGCUCACCAGACAUGAGGAGAAGCUGAAGACCAAGAAACAGCAGCAGAAGGAGCAGCUGUAC